rnacentral:rRNA from 1 species
AGCCAUGCGAGUCGAGAGGUGCAAGACCUCGGCAUACUGCUCAGUAACACGUGGACAACCUAACCUAUGGAGGGGGAUAACCCCGGGAAACUGGGGAUAAUACCCCAUAGACUAUGGAUGCUGGAAUGCUCUGUAGUUGAGAGGUCCGCCGCCAUAGGAUGGGUCUGCGGCCGAUUAGGUUGUUGUUGGGGUAACGGCCCAACAAGCCUGUAAUCGGUACGGGUUGUGGGAGCAAGAGCCCGGAGAUGGAUUCUGAGACACGAAUCCAGGCCCUACGGGGCGCAGCAGGCGCGAAAACUUUACAAUGCGGGAAACCGUGAUAAGGGAACUCCGAGUGCCCGUAAAAUCGGGCUGUCCAUCUGUUUAAAUAACAGGUGAAGAAAGGGCCGGGCAAGACCGGUGCCAGCCGCCGCGGUAAUACCGGCGGCUCGAGUGGUGGCCACUAUUACUGGGCUUAAAGCGUUCGUAGCUGGUUUGUUAAGUCUCUGGGGAAAUCUGCCGGCUCAACCGGCAGGCGUUCCAGGGAUACUGGCAGACUAGGGACCGGGAGAGGUGAGGGGUACUCCAGGGGUAGGAGUGAAAUCCUGUAAUCCUUGGGGGACCACCUGUGGCGAAGGCGCCUCACCAGAACGGCUCCGACAGUGAGGGACGAAAGCUGGGGGAGCAAACCGGAUUAGAUACCCGGGUAGUCCCAGCCGUAAACGAUGCGCGUUAGGUGUAUCGGUGACCACGAGUCAUCGAGGUGCCGAAGAGAAAUCGUGAAACGUGCCGCCUGGGGAAGUACGGUCGCAAGGCUGAAACUUAAAGGAAUUGGCGGGGGAGCACCACAACAGGUGGAGCCUGCGGUUUAAUUGGACUCAACGCCGGAAAG